rnacentral:rRNA from 1 species
AGAGUUUGAUCCUGGCUCAGGACGAACGCUGGCGGCGUGCUUAACACAUGCAAGUCGAACGGUGAUACUGGGGCUUGCUCUGGUUGAUCAGUGGCGAACGGGUGAGUAACACGUGAGUAACCUGCCCUUGACUCUGGGAUAACUGCUGGAAACGGUGGCUAAUACUGGAUAUGAGAUCUUGCCGCAUGGUGGGGUCUGGAAAGAUUUUUCGGUCAGGGAUGGACUCGCGGCCUAUCAGCUUGUUGGUGGGGUGAUGGCUCACCAAGGCGACGACGGGUAGCCGGCCUGAGAGGGCGACCGGCCACACUGGGACUGAGACACGGCCCAGACUCCUACGGGAGGCAGCAGUGGGGAAUAUUGCACAAUGGGCGCAAGCCUGAUGCAGCGACGCCGCGUGAGGGAUGAAGGCCUUCGGGUUGUAAACCUCUUUCAGCAGGGAAGAAGCGCAAGUGACGGUACCUGCAGAAGAAGCGCCGGCUAACUACGUGCCAGCAGCCGCGGUAAUACGUAGGGCGCAAGCGUUGUCCGGAAUUAUUGGGCGUAAAGAGCUCGUAGGCGGUUUGUCGCGUCUGCUGUGAAAACUUCAGGCUCAACCUGGGGCUUGCAGUGGGUACGGGCAGACUAGAGUGCGGUAGGGGUGACUGGAAUUCCUGGUGUAGCGGUGGAAUGCGCAGAUAUCAGGAGGAACACCGAUGGCGAAGGCAGGUCACUGGGCCGCAACUGACGCUGAGGAGCGAAAGCAUGGGGAGCGAACAGGAUUAGAUACCCUAGUAGUCC